UACGUAGGGACCGAGCGUUGUCCGGAUUUAUUGGGCGUAAAGAGCUCGUAGGCGGCUUGUCGCGUCGAAUGUGAAAACUCGGGCUCAACUCCGAGCUUGCAUUCGAUACGGGCAGGCUAGAGUUCGGUAGGGGAGACUGGAAUUCCUGGUGUAGCGGUGAAAUGCGCAGAUAUCAGGAGGAACACCGGUGGCGAAGGCGGGUCUCUGGGCCGAUACUGACGCUGAGGAGCGAAAGCGUGGGGGAGCGAACAGG
rnacentral:rRNA from 1 species